rnacentral:rRNA from 1 species
AUUGAACGCUGGCGGCAGGCCUAACACAUGCAAGUCGAGCGGAUGAAGGGAGCUUGCUCCUGGAUUCAGAGGCGGACGGGUGAGUAAUGCCUAGGAAUCUGCCUGGUAGUGGGGGAUAACGUCCGGAAACGGGCGCUAAUACCGCAUACGUCCUGAGGGAGAAAGUGGGGGAUCUUCGGACCUCACGCUAUCAGAUGAGCCUAGGUCGGAUUAGCUAGUUGGUGGGGUAAAGGCCUACCAAGGCGACGAUCCGUAACUGGUCUGAGAGGAUGAGCAGUCACACUGGAACUGAGACACGGUCCUGACUCCUACGGGAGGCAGCAGUGGGGAAUAUUGGACAAUGGGCGAAAUCCUGAUCCAGCCAUGCCGCGUGUGUGAAGAAGGUCUUCGGAUUGUAAAGCACUUUAAGUUGUGAGGAAGGGCAGUAAGUUAAUACCUUGCUGUUUUGACGUUACCAACAGAAUAAGCACCGGCUAACUUCGUG